UAAAAUCCAUGAGAUCCGCCGUUUUCUGAUUUAAGAAGCUCCAGUCGCCUUCUUCAGCUGCUACACCAAAAGAGAGCCAAUGUCCAACAUCACCCUUAAACACGCCAAAAAACACACAGAAUGUAAAAGGAAAGGAAAACUCUUUCUUGCCUCCUAGCUUCUAGAUUAUCAGAAUUUUCAACACUUCGCCAAAUCCAUGGAAACGCAGUUUUGAAACUCUGCAAACCCAAUUAAUCUUCCCCAAAAUUUAGCUUCAUAAAGCCCCUGUUUUCCACUGCGAAAACCAGCAGAAAUUUCAGUUAUUGAAACAACCUUCAAACUCCAUCAAAAGCCAUGGAAAUCAGCCCCAAAACAACCCGAAAAACUGCCCAUAGUUAAACCCAGUAAGAUUCGACUUUAUCACCUCAUUCUUGUCGAGUUUUCGUCGACGAAGCUGAGAGUUCCAAUUUUGGUUCGUGUAUGUAGCGUCACUGUUUAACUUGAAAGAGCUGUAGAUUUGAGGUUCAAUUUCUCACCCCUUUCUUACUAGUUUAUGAUGCUUCAUAUUUAUGUAUUCCUUUCAAAUUAUUUUUGGAAUUGUUCUGUCAUGUCUCUUGAUCUCAAGUUUGUCACUAUACCAGAAGGUUUUAACAAUUCAAUUUUGUGCUCAAAUGAACUUAGGAUGUUCAGCUCUUAAUUUCAGUGAUAUAGUAUGAGUUAAAUCAUCUGAAGCUAAAGUAAAAUAGGUGCAUGCAGUUUCUCCUCCAUGUAUUCAGUAGUUAUUUCAUGUUAUUACUUUUAUUUUGAUGCUUACUAGUGCCUUAUUGUUUCCUCUUCAUUGAAUUAGUAGUUAGAGAUUAUUUUAAUUAAGUAGACUAUGAUAUAAUCAAAAGUGAGCUGUAGGACUGGGCUAACUUCAAUUCACGUGAAAUAGGCCGAAUGAUAUUCUUUGUGUUGGCCCCGGAGCUUUAAGACAAAUGUAUGGCUCUCAUUUAAUUAAUUUUAAUCCUUUCGAAAUCGAGGUGUGCCAUUUAGUUGAAUUUUCCAUGGCCUUCGCAAAUUUGAAAGCGCGUAGUUGCUUUAGGCACGUAAUUAAAAUUAACUUUCUUAAAUUAGAGUGUGCAUUUAUGUGACCCAAAUCCAAAUCUCAACAAUGUUAGAUAAAAUGUGUCGUGCACCGCGGGUGCAUUUAUGUGACGUGGUUCAAGACGUGUUUUAGAUGACGUUGAAUCUUUCCUAAAAAUAAUUAAACAAAAGCAGUUAUAAAGUUAAAAUUGCACAUAGGCUAAAAUAUGUUUAAAAUCAGAUAAUAGGCCAAUAAUAACAGUUGAGCUACCGUGCUAGAACCACGGAAUCCGAGAGUGCCUAACACCUUCUCCCGGGUUAAUAGAAUUCCUUACCCGGAUUUCUGUGUUCGCGGAUUGUAAAAUAAAGUCAAUCUUUUCCUCGAUUCGGGAUUUGAACCGGUGACUUGGGACACCAUAAAUUAUCCCAAGUGGCGACUCUGAUUUUUUAAAAAUAAAAUAACCCCAUUUCGAUUGUCACUUUAAAUUGGAAAAAAUUCCCUUAUAUACCCUUCCCGGGAGUGUAGUAAAAAAAGGAGGUGUGACAGUUUGUAAGUUAGAAAUAUGUUGUUGAUUAUCUUAUGUUGGUAGCCCUUUGGUUUAAAGUGCACAUUCAUUACUAUAACCUUAGUAAACAAAAUUAUCUGUUUUGGUAUAAGUGAAGUCAAAAGUAGAGAACAAUGCCACAUAAUAUAUUUGAGUUUAAUUUUUCAGUAAUAUUUUUAUAGGCCUUACUCCUUUACUGAUCUCCCAAUUUAAUUAAAAAAUGUACAAAAACAUAAAAGAAAUUCGAUUAUUUAUGCCUGUGUUAACAUAAUACGAAUAUAACAUGCAGUUAUAUAUGUUUAUUUUUAUAGGGUAUAAUAAGCAUUUGUAUACCAUAUUAAGCCUUGUGAAAUGGAAUUCUCCACCUUGAUAAUGGAAUACUAUGUUUUUUCUAUGUGUUUGCAUCUACUCAGAUUUUUCUUCACUUACCAUAUGUGUCUGGGGAGCCCAAUAUAUCCUACAUCUGAUCCCGCGUGCUAUUAUAGGGCACAUGAAUUCAUCUUUACGGCUGCAUAAUACACAAAUGCAAUUCAUACGUGGUCAGCUGGUUGCAUUUUCACUGAGGUACUUUUUGUUACAAAAUUAACUUUUCUUAUAUUGGUCCUAAUACUUUACUGCUAUCUAUAAUACAAAUACAGAACUACAAUUGUAACAUUAAAUAAUUUUUAAAAACAAUCGACUGAUUGAUAAAUAUUGUCCUGUUAUUAUGAAUUUUAACUGGUAAGAUUCCAAAAAAGAUUUUGCUUUAAUGUAUGUUAUCUUUCUUAUUUAUUGUUUUCUUUUUAUACACAUAUUCUCUCAUUUUUCUCUUUACCUUCCCAUUAUAUCAUUAAUCCACCAAAUCACUAACGGCUAAUUCCAAAUAAAAAAUAAAUCCCUACUAAUCCUCCUAUACUCAUUCAAAUUUUUGAUACUCAUAUUUUAUUUUUUUCAAGAUCUCCAGCCAUUCAAUUUACCCCUAUAAAUACAAGAAAGACAACGUACAAGGAAGAUGAGAGGCAGAUUCAAAAUAACACAAAACAUAACUUCAUGAAGAGGUGCAGUUUUUAAGCAUCAGGUUUAAUCCUAAACUAUACAUUAUUCUCUUAUUGUUCUACACAAAUCACAUUCCUUUGCACAAAUAGAUAUUGUCUCUAAAGUAGCAUAAAUAUUUAAGCAUAUAAAAUAAUACAUUCUUAUAGAGAUAUAAAUUAAAUAUACAUUAAUAAUAUAAUUCAACAUAUGCUUAUAACUGCACAAUAAAAUUUGUUUUACAUUAGGUAGGAUUUCUAUAAUGGAUAAACAGAUUAUAGAUCAACGACAUCAAACUUCCUUGAAUAAUGUCAAGGUAAAUUAUUUAAUUAAUGCUUAAUUAAAUAAUUUAAUUACUUUACUAUUCUUAGCUAUAUUAACACUACAAUUCGUCUUUUGUUACAGAUGUGAAAAAACAACCUGAAAGUUCCUUGGAUGAGAUGUACACAAGAAUCACACAAAUGCGAAAAGAAUAUUUGAAGUAUGAACAAGAACAACUUAGAAGCGAAUUAUAUAAAGGAGUAUUACCGGAUACAACAUGCAAAGAAUGACUAUUUAUUCGAAUAUUAUGUUAUUGCAUUUACAAAAUUUAAGUUUACAUUAUUACAAAUAAAUGUUAUUUACAUACCAUUUAUCGACGUUGAAAUUAAUGGACUUCGUUUUCACCAUAUUAAAUAUACAACGCGG
rnacentral:lncRNA from 1 species